rnacentral:misc_RNA from 1 species
UUUGCCUACUGCUACUGUGGAUGGCCCCGCACCUCCUGUUGGUGCUCUAAGCAAAGCCUUAACUAAGCUACAAUCAAGUAGGAAGGUUCGCCAGUUGCGUGAAGCUGCUAAGGGAAUCACAAAGCAAAUUGGAGGGCAAUCACAUGAGAUUGCAGCUAAAGUUGAUUCCAUUGUAAGAGGAAUGGCUGCUGGUUCUGGCGCUAGCUUAUUUGAAGAGC